CCUACGGGAGGCAGCAGUGGGGAAUAUUGCACAAUGGGGGAAACCCUGAUGCAGCGACGCCGCGUGGGUGACGAAGUAUUUCGGUAUGUAAAGCCCUAUCAGCAGGGAAGAAGAUGACAGUACCUGACCAAGAAGCCCCGUCUAACUACGUGCCAGCAGCCGCGGUAAUACGGAGGGGGCAAGCCUUAUCCGGAUUUACUGGGUGUAAAGGGAGCGUAGGUGGCAUGGCAAGCCAGAAGGGAAAACCCUGGGCUUAACCCCGCGGAUUGCUUUUGAAACUGUCAGGCUGGAGUGCAGGAGGGGCAGGCGGAAUUCGUGGUGUAGCGGUGAAAUGCGUAGAUAUCAGGAGGAACACCGGUGGCGAAGGCGGCCUGCUGGACUGUAACUGACACUGAGGCUCGAAAGCGUGGGGAGCAAACAGGAUUAGAUACCCGAGUAGUC
rnacentral:rRNA from 1 species